rnacentral:rRNA from 1 species
GCCUAUGGCCAUACCACCCUGAACGUGCCCAAUCUUGUCUGAUCUCGGAAGCUAAGCAGGGUCAGGCCUGGUUAGUACUUGAAUGGGAAGAAAGUUAAAGACAAUCCAUAGAAU